rnacentral:lncRNA from 1 species
CACACAGGGACUUUCCAAUUAUCCAGCAGUGGUACUGUUCCUUUACCCUUGUGGGUAAUAAUAUGGUAGCUAGACCUUCAAAAUUUAUGUGUCUAAACUUUGUUAGUGCUGUUUCUUUGCUAUUCUUUUACCUUUCUUGGUCAGAGCGAUGUAGUGGGAGCUGCAAGCUUCACGUGCUCAACUUUGGCAGAGAACUUUGGCAAAGUUAUCUGUGGUACCCAUGAGCUAUUGUUGCGUGUGGGAAGUGGGUGAUUGAACAGUAAGAUUCAUGUGCUUUCUACUUCACCAGAAGUCUUCGACAGAAUGCCCAUAAUUUCUGCAAAGCUGAGUGUGCGUGUGACAGGUGCUGACAAGGCUAGAAAAGUAGGUGCCUCUUCGAUUUCUGAGAUCGGCCCUCGUGGUCUCUGAGCAGCCCAGCUUUUGAGAAAGCGAGCGCCUCUUCGAUUGAUUCGGAGAACGAUGCCUCAUCGAUUUUUGAGAAAGCAAUCAUGCUGGGGGUCUGGCUCUCGAGAUUCGGGGAGCAGUGUCUCUUCGAUUUUUGAGAAAGUAAUCAUGUUGGGAGUCUGGCUCUCGAGAUUCGGAGGGCGGUGCCUCUUCGAUUUUGGAGCAAGCAAUCUUGUUGGGAGUGUUUUCUCGAAUGUGAGUAAAGGUUGGGCAUGUUUGCUAGUCUACCUUGCCACGAAGCACAGAGGUUGACACACAGGGACUUUCCAAUUAUCCAGCAAUGGUACUGUUCCUUUACCCUCUCUUCGAUUUUUAAGAAAGUAGUCAUGUUGGGAGUCUGGCUCUCGAGAUUCGGAGGACGGUGCCUCUUCGAUUUUGGAGCAAGCAAUCUUAUUGGGAGUGUUUUCUCGAAUGUGAGUAAAGGUUGGGCAUGUUUGCUAGUCUACCUUGCCACGAAGCACAGAGGUUGACACACAGGGACUUUCCAAUUAUCCAGCAGUGGUACUGUUCCUUUACCCUUGUGGGUAAUAAUAUGGUAGCUAGACCUUCAAAAUUUAUGGGUCUAAACUUUGUUAGUGCUGUUUCUUUGCUAUUCUUUUACCCUUCUUGGUCAGAGCGAUGUAGUGGGAGCUGCAAGCUUCACGUGCUCAACUUUGGCAGAGAACUUUGGCAAAGUUAUCUGUGGUACCCAUGAGCUAUUGUUGCGUGUGGGAAGUGGGUGAUUGAACAGUAAGAUUCAUG